rnacentral:piRNA from 1 species
UUGGAAACGCUUUGAGAAAUUCUCCUU